rnacentral:rRNA from 1 species
UACGUAGGUGGCGAGCGUUGUCCGGAAUCACUGGGCGUAAAGGGCGCGUAGGCGGCUUAUCAAGUCGCAAGUGAAAUACCAGGGCUCAACCCUGGGGGGUCUUGCGAAACUGAUGGGCUUGAGUGCAGUAGAGGAAAGCGGAAUUCCUGGUGUAGCGGUAAAAUGCGUAGAGAUCAGGAGGAACACCGGUGGCGAAGGCGGCUUUCUGGGCUGCAACUGACGCUGAGGCGCGAAAGCGUGGGGAGCAAACAGG